rnacentral:rRNA from 1 species
UACGUAGGGAGCAAGCGUUGUCCGGAAUCAUUGGGCGUAAAGCGCGCGUAGGCGGCCCGAUAAGUCCGCUGUAAAAGUCAACGGCUCAACUGUUGAAAGCCGGUGGAUACUGUCGGGCUAGAGUACGGAAGAGGCAAGUGGAAUUCCUGGUGUAGCGGUGGAAUGCGCAGAUGUCAGGAGGAACACCCAUAGCGAAGGCAGCUUGCUGGGACGUUACUGACGCUAAGGCGCGAAAGCGUGGGGAGCGAACAGG